rnacentral:rRNA from 1 species
CUAUUUGUUUUAACUAAACUUACACAUGCAAGUCUCUCACCCCAGUGAAAAUGCCCUUUGCCCUCUUGUCCAGAGGGAGAGGAGUCGGUAUCAGGCUCAACAGCCCAAGACACCUAGCUAAGCCACACCCCCAAGGGAUCCCAGCAGUGAUUAAUAUUAAACAUUGGCGUAAGCCAGAUUUAGUUAUAGUUAAGAAAGUCGGUUAAUUUCGUGCCAGCCACCGCGGUUAUACGAGAGACUUUAACUAAUAGAUGUCGGCGUAAAGCGUGAUUAGAGGAUUAAUUCAAUAAAGUUAAACUCUAGCCCAGCUGUUAUACGCUUACGCCCUCGAGAAACCCACCAACGAAAGUAACUUUAAUUUCCCCGAACUCACGGUAGCCAAGACACAAACUAGGAUUAGAUACCCUACUAUGCUCGGCCUCAAACUUUGACUAUUUUACAUCCACCA